GAAAUGUACAUCCUGGUAACCCUCCCAGCAAGAAAUGAUCAUCGGCAUCAUUACCUACGAAAAAGUCUCUGAGAGAAGGGGAAGCGCAGUUCUAAAUAAAAUAAUUAAAUUAUUUGAAUAAUUUGGUACUUAUUGCGCUGACCUGAUACUUCCCAGCAGCCUUAAUUGGCACUCUUGGUAAACUCAAAAUGGCAACCUUGGAGGAAGUUUUGUCGCACGCUCGGCCGUCGCUGCAGGUAGCUGCGUCUGUGCUGGCGUCGAGGCUGUGUCUUGCCAAAACGACACAAUGAAGUUUCUUGCAGUUUUCCUCCUAAUGGCCUCCCUUCUGUCUGGAACUCUGAGCUUCGUUCUGCCGAUCCCGCUUCCUGUGCCUCUGCUCAAGGGGCUGGACGUCAGCCUCGCGCUGGGAGAUCAGCCGAUAUUUGUUCCUGCUAAUCAAGGACGCACGCUUGUUCAUUCAUACAAGUUUCAGCAACGUCGCUACUAGUAUCGAUGAAUAAAUCAAUUUGUCUA